rnacentral:lncRNA from 1 species
UCUACAUGUAUUUGUGAAUGUAAUAUAUUAAUAUCAUAUAUCAACAUACUUCAUUAACUUAUCAGUUAUCACAUUCAUAGAUUUUGCUGUGCUCGCUUCGACCCUUCACUUGUGCUUCCCUCCCUUUGCCUCAGGAGUAUAUUAUCUUGCAAUCUUGGGUGUUUAUAUCUUAUGUAUAUUUUGUGAUUCUAUGUGGCAAUUUGCCAUCUUCCUAUUACUGUGAGGAUUUUGGAUCCUAACGAAUGGAAGAAAAGCAUAGUGUCAAGACCCUUCCGAUAGAAAGUUUUUAGUGGUUGAUAAAUAGUAAAUACAAGAGCCCAAUGGAUUUGUAGAGUUGUCGAGCUUUGAGGAUUAAAUAGGAUAAGUCAAUUUCAAACUCAUAAAACUCGGAGAGUCCAUGCCUAGGAUGGGGGUAUUAGAUAUCUGCGACUAUGAAAUUCUAAGGAACUUGAGAAAAUCGUGCAAUUGGUCGGCUAAUCUUCCUAAGACAUCAAGAGUAUUCUCUGCGGGAUGCUAGAAGCGGAUAUAUCUCUGUUGGGCGAAAAUUUAUAAACUUGUGUCGGACAAUAUAAUCUGGCACCUCUAUCUUUCCAGCCGUCUCACUAAGUUUCUUCAAAUAGAGGGAAGGGUGUCCGACUAAACGAAAGACCAAAACUGGGGAUCUGUAGUUAUAUUAUAAAUUAUAAUAAUUAUAUUUAUUACUAUAUCACUAUAAGAUAUCUCAUUUGGUCUUUAGUUUUUGAUAUUUUUAGAUGGAUUGCAGAUAUAUUACCGAAAACCUUUUUAUUUAUUGAUGUAUUAAGUUACAUGUUUUAUUGAGUUAAAGUACUCGAAUCCAGUAAUUAUAAUAAAAUUGUUUCAAAUAAUUUUUUUUUCAAUAAAUCAUUUUCAUGUAUGAUUAGCGAGUUGAAAUUUUGUAUGA